rnacentral:rRNA from 1 species
AACUCAAAGGAAUUGACGGGGGCCCGCACAAGCGGUGGAGCAUGUGGUUCAAUUCGACGCAACGCGAAGAACCUUACCUGGGCUAGACAACAGUGGACCGUCCUAGAAAUAGGACUUUCCCUUCGGGGACCGCUGGUUCAGGUGCUGCAUGGCUGUCGUCAGCUCGUGCCGUGAGGUGUUGGGUUAAGUCCCGCAACGAGCGCAACCCUCGUACUUAGUUGCCACCAUUAAGUUGGGCACUCUAGGUAGACUGCCGGCGUUAAGCCGGAGGAAGGUGGGGACGACGUCAAGUCAUCAUGGCCCUUAUGUCCAGGGCCACACACGUGCUACAAUGGUCGGUACAACGGGCUGCGAUCCCGCGAGGGUGAGCGAAUCCCUUAAAACCGGCCUCAGUUCGGAUUGGAGUCUGCAACUCGACUCCAUGAAGUCGGAGUCGCUAGUAAUCGCGGAUCAGCAAAGCCGCGGUGAAUGCGUUCUCGGGGAUU